rnacentral:rRNA from 1 species
GCCUAGUAGUGGGGGAUAACGUCCGGAAACGGGCGCUAAUACCGCAUACGUCCUACGGGAGAAAGUGGGGGAUCUUCGGACCUCACGCUAUUAGAUGAGCCUAGGUCGGAUUAGCUAGUUGGUGAGGUAAUGGCUCACCAAGGCUACGAUCCGUAACUGGUCUGAGAGGAUGAUCAGUCACACUGGAACUGAGACACGGUCCAGACUCCUACGGGAGGCAGCAGUGGGGAAUAUUGGACAAUGGGCGAAAGCCUGAUCCAGCCAUGCCGCGUGUGUGAAGAAGGUCUUCGGAUUGUAAAGCACUUUAAGUUGGGAGGAAGGGCAGUUACCUAAUACGUGAUUGUUUUGACGUUACCGACAGAAUAAGCACCGGCUAACUCUGUGCCAGCAGCCGCGGUAAUACAGAGGGUGCAAGCGUUAAUCGGAAUUACUGGGCGUAAAGCGCGCGUAGGUGGUUUGUUAAGUUGAAUGUGAAAGCCCCGGGCUCAACCUGGGAACUGCAUCCCAAACUGGCAAGCUAGAGUAUGGUAGAGGGUGGUGGAAUUUCCUGUGUAGCGGUGAAAUGCGUAGAUAUAGGAAGGACACCAGUGGCGAAGCGAC